rnacentral:rRNA from 1 species
UACGUAGGGUCCGAGCGUUGUCCGGAAUUACUGGGCGUAAAGAGCUCGUAGGUGGUUUGUCGCGUUGUCCGUGAAAACUCACAGCUCAACUGUGGGCGUGCGGGCGAUACGGGCAGACUGGAGUACUGCAGGGGAGACUGGAAUUCCUGGUGUAGCGGUGGAAUGCGCAGAUAUCAGGAGGAACACCAGCGGCGAAGGCGGCGCUCUGGGCUGGCACUGACACUGAGGAGCGAAAGCGUGGGGAGCGAACAGG